ensembl:antisense Gm15351 predicted gene 15351
GCAGAGUCCACAGCAGCCUAGAGCGCGCUCUCCACGAGGUCUCAUGCCCAGGGCCCAACAUGUAUGCGUCGGUAGCUGCACAGACACACCUGUAUGUACCGUAAGACCACAGCUUCCAACAACAUCCACCCGCACUGAACAAUCCAACUACAGACAUGUGUGUACCAGGAUGCCGUUGCAACAGUGUCUAUGUUGGGUUCAGCACUGAACUAAAGGUCAAGACACAAAAUGUCAGAUGUCCCAGGAUUUGUCCUCAGAACUCCUGGCCUGG